UCUAGAUUUAAGGGGGUAGUAAUAGAUGGUCUUGAAACCUAAAAUUUUUGGCGGUUUUUUAAGCUAGUUAGAGGAAUCUGUUCUAUUAUAGAUGGUACACUGUUAAUUUAACUUUACUAUAUUGGUUUAUAUACCGCCGUCGGAAAGUGGGUUUUUUAGAACUUAUUGGAAAAUUUGAGUAAUUUAUAAAAUAGGAAGACAGGUCAAGGUGUAGCUUAUAGUGGAGGGUGAAAUGGAUUACAAUAUUUAAUUAAUAAAAUGAAUAAAGGUAGGAAAGUGCUUUUUGAAGGAGGAUUUAUAUGUAAUGUAAGAGCAGGAGUGCUUACAUGAUUGAAGCUCUAUAAAAUGU
rnacentral:rRNA from 1 species